CAACCCUCAAGUCCCCCCUGUGGACUCGGUGUUGGGGACCGGCGAGACAGCCGCGGAUCUUCUUCCGCGGCGAGUCGCCGCCCCCUAAAUGACUUGGCGGCCUCGUCGCGGCCCUCCUCUGCGUAGUAUAGCACACCUCGCAACAGGAGCCCGGCGAAUGGCCACUGCCGUAAAACCCCCCAACUUUUUCAG
rnacentral:misc_RNA from 1 species